GUUUUGUUCCAGACCGCUGGUUGAGAGACAGUCCGUCUCGCUCUCAGCAUCACCCCUACAGUUCUAUCCCGUUUGGGGUUGGUGUUCGGGCCUGCGUGGGGAAGAGGGUUGCAGAGCUGGAGAUGUACUUUGCCCUAAGUAGACUGAUGCAACAUUAUGAGGUCAGAACGGAGGAGGGAGCCCCAUCGAUACAUCCCAAAACCAGAACCCUGCUCAUUCCCUCCAAACCUAUUGACCUGCAGUUUAUCCCUCGGGCUUGAUCCCAGCCAGCUCCAAUCAGUUAACCAAAAUCAGUAAUUUUAAUUCAAAUUAUUUUGCCUUUACGGUGAAGUAUGUAAGUUUUUGACUCUAAUAAAGCAUAAAAAUACCAUAA